GGAAUAUUCAUUUUAAGUAUUUUACAAAUAUAAACAAAGACUGUAAAGAUCUAUUUGAAAUGAUAUAAAUGCACAGGUUGUUGUUUUGAAAAUUCGUCUAUUUAUAAUAUGCUUUUAUUAGUUGUGUGAUGGUGGAUAGAAAUCAUACAUAUGUGAACCAGAAAACGUUUAACGACACGCAAUCGAAUAUGUUGACUAAUAACUCGACUGCCUUAGAUGACUUCUGCAACCCUGUUAUUUGUGGACUUGGAGCUUUUGUUUUUGGCGUUAUUGGUAUCGUCUGCUUCUUCGUAUCAUGUGUUGUGUGUUUUGUGGCAUAUUGUAAAAGAUCUAGACGUAUUAUAUCGUAUUUUGAAUCACAGGAGGAGGAGGAGGUCAACUGUACUAAUAAUGGAAAAGAAAAUCCUAGCAUGGAUUACGGAUCUGAUGUAUUUUACAAUAACAAGGAGCCACAAUAUGAAGAAAUACAACGUUAUGAUAAGGAUCCUACUCACAGGGAAAAAAGACUUCCGGCAUCCCCCUACGCUUAUGCCGAAUCAUGUAAUAUAAGUUGUCAUAGCGAUGGUCGAAAAAAACAGCAAACCGCUUCGAACCUGUCGAAGAAAACUUUUGAAUAUGACUAUGUUGACGUUCAUGAUAUGAAGGGAGAAUUACAAAAACAAAUG